CGCUCAGCUGCUCCUCUCUCCCUGCAGCCUGCAGGGAACUGACCCACCUCUGUCCCUCUCCAGGGCCGGAAAUACCUUUGAGCGGCCUCUCUCCACCAAUCCUGAGUGAGAUGCUGCUCUGGAAAUUGGAAAGCAUUCUGAUGUUGAGGAUGCCAUUAUUGGAAGGAGAUGUGAAAACGAGGUGCUUACCAGUGCAAGCAGUCCUCACAUUUACAACAUAAUUGGUUCCUGGAAACUAUGUCUUAAGUUGAAACGUCAUAACUCAAAACCAAUUUCCCCAUAGGAACAAUGUUAUAUAUGGUUCCUUUAUGGGGCUCGAUACAGCUGCAUCCAGCUGAUGGGGAAACAGGGCCACAGAUGAGGUGCUUUGCUAAAGGUCACAGUUCCAGUCAGUGGCAGAGCCAGGAGUACAAACUAGCUCUCCGGAGUCCCAGUCACAUGCUCUCUCCAUUAGAGUACCCUAUCUACCACAAGGAGACGCAUUACUGGACAAGCUUAUCCUCUACUAACCACAAAAAAGUCUGUACAAUACUGAAAUCUUCCUAACUCCUUGGCUCUACCAUGCCUCCAUUUUGCUUGAUAAUUAUAGCUACUUUGUAAAAUCUCUAUAA